rnacentral:rRNA from 1 species
AACCAGCACCUCAAGUGGUCAGGAUGAUUAUUGGGCCUAAAGCAUCCGUAGCCGGCUCUGUAAGUUUUCGGUUAAAUCUGUACGCUUAACGUACAGGCUGCCGGUAAUACUGCAGAACUAGGUAGUGGGAGAGGUAGACGGUACUCGGUAGGAAGGGGUAAAAUCCUUUGAUCUAUUGAUGACCACCUGUGGCGAAGGCGGUCUACCAGAACACGGACGACGGUGAGGGAUGAAAGCUGGGGGAGCAAACCGGAUUAGAUACCCGGGUAGUCCCAGCUGUAAACUAUGCAAACUCAGUGAUGCAUUGGCUUGUGGCCAAUGCAGUGCUGCAGGGAAGCCGUUAAGUUUGCCGCCUGGGAAGUACGUACGCAAGUAUGAAACUUAAAGGAAUUGGCGGGGGAGCACCACAAGGGGUGAAGCCUGCGGUUCAAUUGGAGUCAACGCCAGAAAUCUUACCCGGAGAGACAGCAGAAUGAAGGUCAAGCUGAAGACUUUACCAGACAAGCUGAGAGGUGGUGCAUGGCCGUCGCCAGCUCGUGCCGUGAGAUGUCCUGUUAAGUCAGGUAACGAGCGAGAUCCCUGCCUCUAGUUGGCAGCAUUACUCUCAGGAGUAGUGGGCAGAAUUAGUGGGACCGCCGCAGUUAAUGCGGAGGAAGGAAGGGGCCACGGCAGGUCAGUAUGCCCCGAAACUGUCGGUGCACACGCGGCAUGCAAUGGUAACGACAAUGGGCUUCGAAUUCGAAAGGAUGAGGUAAUCCUCAAACGUUAUCGCAGUUAUGACUGAGGGGUGCAACUCGACCUCACGAAUACGGAAUCCAUAGUAACUCCGGGUCACUACCACGCGGUGAAUAAGUUCCUGUUCCU